GAUGAACGCUGGCGGCGUGCCUAAUACAUGCAAGUCGAGCGAACGGACGAGAAGCUUGCUUCUCUGAUGUUAGCGGCGGACGGGUGAGUAACACGUGGAUAACCUACCUAUAAGACUGGGAUAACUUCGGGAAACCGUAGCUAAUACCGGAUAAUAUUUUGAACCGCAUGGUUCAAAAGUGAAAGACGGUCUUGCUGUCACUUAUAGAUGGAUCCGCGCUGCAUUAGCUAGUUGGUAAGGUAACGGCUUACCAAGGCAACGAUGCAUAGCCGACCUGAGAGGGUGAUCGGCCACACUGGAACUGAGACACGGUCCAGACUCCUACGGGAGGCAGCAGUAGGGAAUCUUCCGCAAUGGGCGACAGCCUGACGGAGCAACGCCGCGUGAGUGAUGAAGGUCUUCGGAUCGUAAAACUCUGUUAUUAGGGAAGAACAUAUGUGUAAGUAACUGUGCACAUCUUGACGGUACCUAAUCAGAAAGCCACGGCUAACUACGUG
rnacentral:rRNA from 1 species